UCACCUCACUAUAAGCUGGCAGAAUGCUUGCAGUAUUAACUCUACGGAGUCUUUGUCAAUAAGGACGUGACACAAAAAAAAAAAACAAUAUUUCUUUCUUCUCAAAUUAUAUUUAAUGAAUCUUAAAAAAGCCCUGGAAUUUACCUAUAUGUAUAAUAUAACACGCUGAGUCUUUACGCCAACAUAUUCAUGUGUAUAAUUAUUAUUUUACAGAGCAUAUCCACAAUAACACAUCAAAGCUGAACGUACUUUAAUGACUUUUUUCAUCGGAAAGCUCAACAAUUACGACACAGCGUUCUUUUCCUGCGAGUGGCCAACUAGCCGUUACCGAUUCCAAACAGAAGAAAUUCUUCUUAAUAAAAGAACAAUAACUCAAAGGUCCAAAAAAAAAUAAUACCACCCUGUGUCAAAUAAAAUUCAUGAGUGGUUGGAAAAAAAUCAAACAUUCGGAGGUCUGUACGGAGGUGCCAUAUUUAUUUAAGAGGCCAGGGUACGUCCCCAGUGGAUCGUGACGUCGAAUGUUAAUAUCAAACGAUGAAGACGUUUGGCGGACGUGCCGAGACGACGAAACGACUCGGACGGAGUUCUUGAAAACCAUUUUAUAUUGUGUUUCGUACAAUGAAUUAAUGUCGCGUUCAUUUCGCUGAAUAUUAAAAAAUGUAAAGGA